GAUGAACGCUGGCGGCGUGCCUAAUACAUGCAAGUCGAGCGAACGGACGAGAAGCUUGCUUUUCUGAUGUUAGCGGCGGACGGUUGAUUAACCCUUGGUUACCUUCCUUUUAAACUUGGGUUAACUUCGGGAACCCGGGCUUAUUACCGGUUAUUUUUUUGACCCCAUUGUUUCAAAAUUGAAGGACGUUCUUCUUUUCAUUUAUAGAUGAAUCCCCGCUCCAUUAGCUAGUUGUUAAGGUAACGGCUUACCAAGGCAACGAUGCAUAGCCGACCUGAGAGGGUGAUCGGCCACACUGGAACUGAGACACGGUCCAGACUCCUACGGGAGGCAGCAGUAGGGAAUCUUCCGCAAUGGGCGAAAGCCUGACGGAGCAACGCCGCGUGAGUGAUGAAGGUCUUCGGAUCGUAAAACUCUGUUAUUAGGGAAGAACAUAUGUGUAAGUAACUGUGCACAUCUUGACGGUACCUAAUCAGAAAGCCACGGCUAACUACGUG
rnacentral:rRNA from 1 species